GACGAACGCUGGCGGCGUGCUUAACACAUGCAAGUCGAACGCUGAACCCGCUUCGGUGGGGGAUGAGUGGCGCACGGGUGAGUAACACGUGGGCAACCUGCCCCCGGCUCUGGGAUAACUCCAAGAAAUUGGGGCUAAUACCGGAUGUGACCGCUGGCCGCAUGGUCUGGUGGUGGAAAGGGUUUCCGGCUGGGGAUGGGCCCGCGGCCUAUCAGCUUGUUGGUGGGGUAGUGGCCUACCAAGGCGACGACGGGUAGCCGGCCUGAGAGGGUGACCGGCCACACUGGGACUGAGACACGGCCCAGACUCCUACGGGAGGCAGCAGUGGGGAAUAUUGCGCAAUGGGCGGAAGCCUGACGCAGCGACGCCGCGUGGGGGAUGACGGCCUUCGGGUUGUAAACCUCUUUCAGCAGGGACGAAGCGCAAGUGACGGUACCUGCAGAAGAAGCACCGGCCAACUACGUGC
rnacentral:rRNA from 1 species